UGUUUCCAUUAUUCUUCUUCUUCUCGCAUAUGCUUCGAGAUUAUUAGGGUUUUUUUUCCCCUUUCCUUUGUUCGUCUUCAGCAGACACUCGACGGAAAAAACAAAGAUCGACGGUACGUAUUCUGUUCAUCAGUUACGACAACGUUUAAUAUGGGUAUCCCUACAACAGCGUCAAUACAUCAGGGCUUUUUCGUCUUUCAGCACAAAUCUUCAAAGGUGAUCUAUUGGCUUCAUCAACAAGGUUUUUAAUAUGACACAAAUUCCAACAAGGUCAGGGCUUUCUCCAGAAACCCCUUUCUCUCAUCCCAUCCAUCUGCCACAUACAUUCGAUCGUUCAUUCGUCUUCAAUCAACAUACUAGGUUGCAAGGUUGAAGGUUUCAAAUCACAGGUUGAAGAGAAGAUUACAAUGACAAGAGCAAGACUGUGUUUGGUACUACGAUAGCAAUUUUUUAUUUUAAGAUCUAUCUAAUUAUCCAUCCGUUAACCUGAAUCAAAGAUGUUUCUAACCAGAAUUGAGUAUGACAGGGGUGUCAACACCUUCUCUCUAGAAGGCCGUUUGUUUCAGGUUGAAUAUGCCAUUGAUGCCAUUAAGAGAGUGAGAGUGAGAGAAUGAUAUCCAUGUUUGUCGAACACUUUUGGUUUGUCGUGUGGGAAGUUGGACUGGGUGGUGUAAGUGGUCGGAUGUCGGUGGCGGUGGAAGCGGGACGGUGUGUAUUCACUGGCGAUGGCUUGGGUGCACACCCGGGUUUGAACAUCAACCAUACUUUGGCAGUGUCUCUAUGCGGUGCAUGCGAUUUCCAAACUCUCCCGGUUAGCAAAUGUACUGGUAUGUCAUGACCUCAUGGUUAUUUUUAUUCUCAUAAUAUUUUGUAACAAUAUGGUUUUCAAAUUUCAUCACUUCCUCGAACUAUUUGUACGGUGGUGCUAAUGGACCGUGAGCUCUACGCCAUCUGAUUUAUCUUCAACAAGAAGCGGGUCGAAGAUAACACCAUGGUCAGAAGUCAUACGUUACAAUGGUGGUGAUGAGAGAUGGUGGAAAAGAUUUGAAUUUUGGUUUCACGAUGGAUAAAUGUGUGCACUGCAAAUUGAUUAUCAUCGAGUUAAAUCAUAACCAUAGGUGUUAUUUCAAGGUUAAGAGAGAUAAACCCAUAAAGAAGGUUUUAAUGGCGUAUUACGAGCAAGUAAAUGGGUAUUAGAAACGUUGACUUUCUACUCAAUGGGUCUUGAUUUGAUACCAAUCUUACCCUUAAUCAGGUAGUGGGGAAGCAGAAGCUGUCUAACUCGCUAUAGAUAAUGUAGGACCCGAAUGGCCGGUGUUGCCAGCUAGGAUGAUUGAACCAAUUGUAGGGAAACUGGUGUAGUUAUUGGGUCAUCAUGCUACUUCAAAGCUCAAUGGAUUUUCUCAAUUUUCCACAUAAAGUGUUCGAAACAGAAAUAUAUCAGUGAUUUACUAGAUUUGGUAGAUGGAUAUUGAAGGUAGCAGUUGUUGAUGCUCCAGCCUUUGGUGACAUUGCUAUAUUAACCGGAUCCUAAACCGUUAAAGGAAUACAGAAAACAAAGAAUCACAGUUUCAGAAUCUACCUCAAGGAUUCACUUCCACGGCAAGCUCAAGAGAUGGAUAUAAUCAUCGUGAACCUGUCAUUGCGCCAACAUCUUCGAUUUCAAGUUAAGCCGUCUUCCUACCAACAAGCAAGGUUGACAUGACUCUUGGAAUUCAGUUACGGUCAACACCAGAGAUGCCUUUGCAAGAUAUGGUACAAGGUGUUGUGUAUCAUUAUCAUACUAAAAGCCCCGAAAAAAUAACCUUCCGUAAAAGUCUUAUUCCAUCAAGCUCUCCAUUGCACAAAAGAAUGUCAUUUGAAAGUCCAACAGGUCGACCUGACAACAAUGCCUAAACUACAGGGACUACGGUCCACCCUUUGCCUCUCCCUCCAGGAGCUUCUGUACUUCCACCAUCUUCCCCACCACAAAUUCGCAACAGAUCUGAUGUGGUGGCGAGACACCAAAACAAAGUCGAUGGAAAAGGGAAAGCUUUUAGGUCGUGGAACAUUCGGAACAUUCAAAGUUUAUGUACUUUAGUAUAUUCCUUUGUGUUUUAACGUGUAUAAAAUCAUAAUAUAUAUAUCAAUGAUGAUAACAAAGAUAUUUUCUUUUACCAACCCGCGAAGUUCGCGGGUUCUUAAUAAAGAUAUUUAUGGCACAAUUAA